GUUUGAUCCUGGCUCAGAUUGAACGCUGGCGGCAGGCCUAACACAUGCAAGUCGAGCGGCAGCACGGGUACUUGUACCUGGUGGCGAGCGGCGGACGGGUGAGUAAUGCCUAGGAAUCUGCCUGGUAGUGGGGGAUAACGCUCGGAAACGGACGCUAAUACCGCAUACGUCCUACGGGAGAAAGCAGGGGACCUUCGGGCCUUGCGCUAUCAGAUGAGCCUAGGUCGGAUUAGCUAGUUGGUGAGGUAAUGGCUCACCAAGGCGACGAUCCGUAACUGGUCUGAGAGGAUGAUCAGUCACACUGGAACUGAGACACGGUCCAGACUCCUACGGGAGGCAGCAGUGGGGAAUAUUGGACAAUGGGCGAAAGCCUGAUCCAGCCAUGCCGCGUGUGUGAAGAAGGUCUUCGGAUUGUAAAGCACUUUAAGUUGGGAGGAAGGGCAUUUACCUAAUACGUAAGUGUUUUGACGUACCGAC
rnacentral:rRNA from 1 species